rnacentral:rRNA from 1 species
GAUGAACGCUGGCGGCGUGCCUAAUACAUGCAAGUCGAGCGGUAAGGCCUCUUCGGAGGUACACGAGCGGCGGACGGCUGAGUAACACGUAGGAACAUACCCCAAAGUGAGGGAUAACUGCUCGAAAGAGUAGCUAAUACCGCAUGUGGUCUUCGGAUUAAAGCUUCGGCGCUUUGGGAAUGGCCUGCGUCUGAUUAGCUAGAUGGUGAGGUAAUGGCUCACCAUGGCGACGAUCAGUAGCUGGUCUGAGAGGAUGAUCAGCCAGACUGGGACUGAGACACGGCCCAGACUCCUACGGGAGGCAGCAGUAGGGAAUUUUCCACAAUGGGCGAAAGCCUGAUGGAGCAACGCCGCGUGCAGGAUGAAUGCCUUCGGGUUGUAAACUGCUUUUAUAUGUGACGAAUAUGACGGUAGCAUAUGAAUAAGGAUCGGCUAACUCCGUGCCAGCAGCCGCGGUAA